CAAUUUCACAGGGGAAAGGUGUCAGGCGGCCUGGUGCUGCUACCUCAGAACUUUGAAGAUGCCGCAGCCAAACAUACUCAGCCCCUACCAAGGCCUGGGAUGGCUUCACCGGACCUGCCUUCCUCCACGCCCGUGACGGCAUCCUCACCCCACGUGUGACCUUCCACCGACCCGAGGCUGCCGUAGUUAGCAAACAAACUAUGGGACGCCCAGUUAAACUGGAACUUCAGGUCAGCAGCAAGUGAUACUUAGUCUUUCCCCAAUACCUCAGAGAAAGACUUACAAUAAAAUACGUGUUACCUGAAUUUUAAA